UCGGAGCUGGAGCGGCACGCCGUGCCGGUG
rnacentral:sRNA from 1 species